CCUACGGGAGGCAGCAGUGGGGAAUAUUGCACAAUGGGGGAAACCCUGAUGCAGCGACGCCGCGUGAGUGAAGAAGUAAUUCGGUAUGUAAAGCUCUAUCAGCAGGGAAGAAAAUGACGGUACCUGAGUAAGAAUCCCCGGCUAACUACGUGCCAGCAGCCGUGGUAAUACGCAGGGGGCAAGCGUAAUCCGGAUUUACUGGGUGUAAAGGGAGCGUAGACGGUAGGGCAAGUCUGGAGUGAAAGGCGGGGGCUCAACCCCCGGACUGCUCUGGAAACUGUACGGCUGGAGUGCAGGAGAGGUAAGUGGAAUUCGUGGUGUAGCGGUGAAAUGCGUAGAUAUUAGGAGGAACACCAGUGGCGAAGGCGGCUUACUGGACUGUAACUGACGUUGAGGCUCGAAAGCGUGGGGAGCAAACAGGAUUAGAUACCCGAGUAGUC
rnacentral:rRNA from 1 species